UCCUAGAAAAAAAAUGAAUUAUGUGAGGUAUUGUUGUAGACUCAUUUAUGAUGAUAUUGCAAUAGUUGAUGAGAUGUUUGACAAGGUGAAGUUCGCCAUGGAACGUUUGUUUAAAUUUUAUGAGAAAUCUUCUCUUGGGUCUUGUGAUAAGAAUUUGGGUGGUCAACUUUUGAGUUCUACUAGUGCUGGUAGUAGUUGCGAUCCUUAUUGCGAUGAGGGAAAUGAAGGGGAAGAUUGCGGUUUGGAUUUCUACGUGCAAGAGCCAUCAUAUGAAGCCUUUCUUAAUGAGGAGAAAAAGAAGUCUGAGGGCAACUUAUCUGAACUCGAUCGGUAUCUUAAAGCUGAACUUGAAGAGGCUCGCGAUCUUGACAUUUUGAUGUAGUGGAGCAUGAUCGAUCAAAAGUUUAAAAUUCUAUCUUUGAUGGCUCGAGAUAUUUUGUCUGUUCCUGUAACUACUGUUGCUUCAGAGUCUACCUUCAGUACAUCUGGUCGUGUGCUUGAUGGCUUUAGAAGUUCUUUGACUCCUAGAGUCUUGGAAGCUUUGAUUUGCACUCAAGAUUGGUUGAGAGCGGUUAUCGAGCCGAUUAAUAUUGAAGAGUGCAUCGAGAAUGCGGAAAAGUUUGAGUUGGAUAUGAAUCAUGUUAACGUGGAGAUUAACAGUACAUAGAGUUUACAAGUUGAAGCGAAA